rnacentral:rRNA from 1 species
AAUCAACGCUGGCGGCGUGCCUCAGACAUGCAAGUCGAACGAUUAAAGCUCUCUUCGGAGAGUGCAUAAAGUGGCGCACGGGUGAGUAACACGUAAGUAAUCUACCUUCGGAGUGGGGAAUAACGUCCGGAAACGGACGCUAAUACCGCAUAACGCAGCGGCAUCGCAAGAUGACAGUUGUUAAAGAUUUAUCGCUUGAAGAGGAGCUUGCGGCAGAUAGCUUGUUGGUAAGGUAACGGCUUACCAAGGCUACGAUCUGUAUCCGGUCUAAGAGGACGGUCGGACACACUGAC